rnacentral:rRNA from 1 species
AGCGAACGCUGGCGGCAGGCCUAACACAUGCAAGUCGAACGAUCCCUUCGGGGUUAGUGGCGGACGGGUGAGUAACACGUGGGAACGUGCCCUUUGGUUCGGAAUAACUCAGGGAAACUUGAGCUAAUACCGGAUGUGCCCUUCGGGGGAAAGAGUUAGCGCCAUUGGAGCGGCCCGGGUCGGAUUAGCUAGUUGGCGGGGUACAGGCCCACCAAGGCGACGAACCGUAGCUGGUCUGAGAGGAUGAUCAGCCACCCUGGGACUGAGACACGGCCCAGACUCCUGCGGGAGGCAGCAGUGGGGAAUCUUGCGCAAUGGGCGAAAGCCUGACGCAGCCAUGCCGCGUGAAUGAUGAAGGUCUUAGGAUUGUAAAAUUCUUUCACCGGGGACGAUAAUGACGGUGCCCGGAGAAGAAGCCCCGGCUAACUUCGUGCCAGCCGCCGCGGUAAUAC